CAGGGAUUGCCCUAGUAACGGCGAGUGAAGCGGCAACAGCUCAAAUUUGAAAUCUGGCCCUCGGGUCCGAGUUGUAAUUUGUAGAGGAUGCUUUUGGUGCGGCGCCUUCCGAGUUCCCUGGAACGGGACGCCAUAGAGGGUGAGAGCCCCGUACGGUUGGAUGCCUAGCCUCUGUAAAGCUCCUUCGACGAGUCGAGUAGUUUGGGAAUGCUGCUCUAAAUGGGAGGUAAAUUUCUUCUAAAGCUAAAUACCGGCCAGAGACCGAUAGCGCACAAGUAGAGUGAUCGAAAGAUGAAAAGCACUUUGAAAAGAGGGUUAAAUAGCACGUGAAAUUGUUGAAAGGGAAGCACUUAUGACCAGACCUUUUCCUGGCGGAUCAUCCGGCGUUCUCGCCGGUGCACUUUGCCAGGUUAAGGCCAGCAUCGAUUUCUAUAGGGGGAUAAAGACUUCGGGAAAGUAGCUCUCUUCGGGGAGUGUUAUAGCCCGUCGUGUAAUACCCUUACGGGGAUCGAGGUUCGCGCUCUGCAAGGAUGCUGGCAUAAUGGUCAUCAGUGACCCGUCUUGAAACACGGACCAAGGAGUCGAACAUUUAUGCGAGUGUUUGGGUGUUAAACCCUCACGCGUAAUGAAAGUGAACGGAGGUGAGAGCCCUUACGGGUGCAUCAUCGACCGAUCCUGAUGUCUUCGGAUGGAUUUGAGUAAGAGCAUAACUGUUCGGACCCGAAAGAUGGUGAACUAUGCGUGGAUAGGGUGAAGCCAGAGGAAACUCUGGUGGAGGCUCGCAGCGGUUCUGACGUGCAAAUCGAUCGUCAAAUCUGCGCAUGGGGGCGAAAGACUAAUCGAACCAUUAACGGAGGGACCAGCGGUAAAUAAUUAUUUACUAGGUGGUUAAUAGGCUUCUUGCGAGAGGAAGCCUAGGUCGGACCUACCCGGUAGCUACCCGGUACUCCCUUACCCGGGAGCUACCCUGUAGUAUCGGGUAGCCGACCGACACCGCUAAAUUGCGGGGACAUCCUACAGAAGGCUCCAGGCUACCGCCCUGCGCUGAAAGGCGUACGCGGCACCAAGAAUAGCGCUCUUGGGUACGGUAAAAACGCCUGGGGUAGCGGACGACYUGCAGCCAACCCCGCCAGCCCCUAUAGGGGGGGCUUAGGGGAGAGUUCACUGACUAAACAGCGGUGGGUUUCAUAGUGCUAAUAGGUGNNNNNNNNNNAAGACAUAGUCGAUCUGGGCCCUGAAAAGGUGACCCUGAAGUA
rnacentral:rRNA from 1 species